UCGCACAAGUUCUUACAAUAAUUGCAUCAAUUCGCUUACAAAAUCACCCCUAUCUGUGAUGAUCCUAUCUGUCUAAACCAAACUGAUUUUAUAGAAAAACUACAAAUAUAUAAUAAUCCACAAUUAAACAUACCAGGGUUUGUACACAGUAUUAUAAAACCAAAUAUAAAUUGGGAGGAAAUACAUUGGGGUACGGGGUAAAAAAGGACACCUUUUACUUGAGUUAACUUGCUUGUAAAGUGUUUUUUUUAUUGCCCCAAAGUUAGAGAAAUAAACAAAGGGGGUCAACCUGAUUAUUGUUGGCCCAGAGUGUUACAAUUUCGUGUGAGUGCGGCAUACUUAACGCAAUAAUUAAACCAACGCUGGUGUUAAACUGUCCACCUGGUAGGAACACUUAUCGCAAUAUACCCAUUGUUUAAGUUUUAUAUCGCACAAGUUCUUACAAUAAUUGCAUCAAUUCGCAUGUGUUAUAAUAGGGCGCUUGUUACGUCGUAUAACACGGUUUUACUUUUAAAUACCGGACGAUAUUGGUUUACUUUUAGUAAGAAACACAGUCGCAAUCAAGUAAAGACCCAUGCAUAUUGUGCGAUGUCUGGUCCAUUUACACAAUAAUGCUGUUGUUCUGCAAUUGGACAAUCGGAGUAGGGCGUUAUUUGCAAAAUAAUUACAGAUAGUAAGUACAAUGUUAUGUUGUAAUAAUCAUGAUUUCGCAAAUUUAAGUCAGUUUUAACACAUUUUUUUUACGAAGCAGUUUGCUGGUUGUCACACUCGAACUAUUGUAUGUGCGCCGAUGGUCGUGCAUGCAAUUAGAGUAGUAAAUUUGACAAGAGUGCACAGCAAGCCCGUACUCUACGCCAGUGUUCCUUAUACCACAAAUCAUAGAAAUCCAAUAAUCUUUUUUGAACAUCAAUUUUUUAUAAAAUAUUGUUUACACAAGCUAAAAAAAAAUUAUUCAAUGCAUUACUUGAAAAAGAAAAAAAAAUUUUGUCUUUCUUGCCCCAUUUCAAUUUAAAUAAAAACUAAACAAGAAAAUCAUAAAUAGCCAUAAAAACAACAUUGUUGCCAUAUUUAAAACAUAUUGCAUUCAUAUUUAAAGAGGUACUUUGUUCACUAAACAAAGGUACCAUUUUACCAUAACUUUGCACAACAAAAUCCGUCUCCUUUGUUAUUAACUUUAAUACCAACUACAGUUUUAGGAGUUUUUACAAUGUAAGCAUUAUCUGGAAACGAGGCAAAAAUAUUGGGCAACAUACACUUUUCUGGCACAAAAAUCUUAUUUUCUUGUAAUCGCUUUACAACUUGAACUAAGAGGGACUUUUGCCAAAUCGGACCAUUUAAAAAAAAAAUUUUUUAAUAGUUUUCAAAACAAAAUGCACUGCAGCACUCAAGACCACCAUAUAUACUUUAGCCUCAUCUGCCAGAUGAAGUAAAGAAGAACUUUAUAUACUAAAAAUUCCUUCCCAUAAUAUACUUUACAAUCCUUGACAAAGUUUGACAACAUUUGUUCUGCUAAAUCACAGUGCAAUUUACAAAGAGUUGGUGAUAUUAAAAUGGAUAUAGCACUACUAAAUGACAAAAAGCUGUUAAACAAUCGACUCGGUAAAAUAUUUCUUAAUGCAAUUUUGCCAGUAUAAAGCAAGAACUGUCGUAAUUCUGUUGCUUUUCAACGAUCUACUUCAUCAAGACCACGUGGUUUUAGUGCAAAGCAUCGAGGAAUAUAAAUGGUUUCAUAGCAAUAAGCCGGUUACUAACUUCAGAUAUUUAAACGGCACUUGUCCUGACUGUUUUACUUCCCCUCAUCCAUGUUAACGAAAGCUUCUUCAUAGCAACACCUAAACAUACUGAUGCAUGUAAUCUAUGGGGAAUUUGAAUAGGAAGAUCACAAAAUGGGGAUGUACUGUGAUGGUGUUCCUUGUUUUUAUGUUCUCUAAAAGUUUGCUUGGUAUGUGGUAUAAAAUCUGUAAUUUGUGGAUAGAGCACUUGUCAGACAUAAUAUAACUUGAUGCACUUUGUAACUAUUGCACGUGCUGUAGCAUCACAUUCAAUGCUAUGUAAGGCAACUUGAACAACUUUUUGCUGCACUAUUAAACUGUGGGGGGCGGCUAAUGUUGAAGUUGUGGGUUCGCGCUCCGCAGCCUCGUGACGACGCUGUUCCAUCCUGCCCCUACGCACACGCUAUCCGACUCCUCAACGCAGAUUGCAUAUCGAUAUAACACUUGUACGGCACAGCUCAGUUUAUUGUACGGUGAAAGUGCGACAUCGAGCUUAGAGACAAAGUGAGAACAGCAGGGUAUUGCAAGCCCCGUACUGCCUCCCAGUACAGGAAAGUGAAAGGUUUAUGUAACGAAAAACACGUGUAGCAAAACAAUAACCCGGCUAUCUCAAACAGCUUACCUGCUGUCGUCGACACUGAAGGACAAAAUCCACAAGUUAUGGGGCAUCUUCUCGCAACAGCUGUAUCGUUUCUACAGUCCCGUGUUCGUGCACGACAAGUUGCAGUAUGGCGGGGCAAUUCAACGCAAGACGUUCCAGGUAUUACUGGAAAUUAUAAAUGCAUUUUUACUGUGUUGUAUAAGUUUUUAGUUCUGCUGUAUAAA